UUUGGCAAUGGUAGAACUCACACUGGUGAGAUAGUGGGAUCCGGUGGUUCUAGACUUGCCAACUA
rnacentral:pre_miRNA from 2 species